UCAAGAAACUUCCACAAUGGGCGAAAGCCUGAUGGAGCGACGUCGCGUGAUGGACGAAGUGCUUCGGCACGUAAACAUCUUUUAUGUGGGAUGAAAUUAUUGACAGUACCACAUGAAUAAGGGGCUCCUAACUCUGUGCCAGCAGGAGCGGUAAUACAGAGGCCCCAAGCGUUAUCCGGAAUCACUGGGCGUAAAGGGUGUCGAGGCGGUUGUAUUAGUCGUUCGUAAAAUCUACGAGCUUAACUUGUAGGCGGCGAACGAAACGGUACGACUUGAGGUUUGGAGAGGUGCGUGGAACUCACGGUGUAGGGGUGAAAUCCGUUGAUAUCGUGGGGAACACCAAAGGCGAAGGCAGCGCGACUGGCCAAAAUCUGACGCUCACACACGAAAGCUAGGGUAGCGAAGAGGAUUAGAUACCCCCGUAGUCCCUGAGCGGGCUGGCAAGGCGCAU
rnacentral:rRNA from 1 species